rnacentral:rRNA from 1 species
CGGCGGACGGGUGAGUAACGCGUGGGUAACCGUGCCUCAUACAGGGGGAUAACAGUUGGAAACGGCUGCUAAUACCGCAUAAGCGCACAGUACCGCAUGGUACGGUGUGAAAAACUCCGGUGGUAUGAGAUGGACCCGCGUCUGAUUAGGUAGUUGGUGGGGUAACGGCCUACCAAGCCGACGAUCAGUAGCCGACCUGAGAGGGUGACCGGCCACACUGGGACUGAGACACGGCCCAA